UACGUAGGGGGCGAGCGUUGUCCGGAUUUAUUGGGCGUAAAGAGCUCGUAGGCGGUUCGAUAAGUCAGGUGUAAAAACUCCAGGCUCAACUUGGAGAGGCCACCUGAUACUGUCGUGACUAGAGUCCGGUAGAGGAGCACGGAAUUCCUGGUGUAGCGGUGAAAUGCGCAGAUAUCAGGAGGAACACCAGCGGCGAAGGCGGUGCUCUGGGCCGGAACUGACGCUGAGGAGCGAAAGCUAGGGGAGCGAACAGG
rnacentral:rRNA from 1 species